ACAUGGUCAUUGUUUAAAUGUCAUGAGAAAUUUGGAUUACUUUAGAUAAACAGAACAUGAAAAUACCAAAAAGUGAAUUUGAAAUCCAGACACAUGCCCCACAUGCAUCAGGCUGUGCCCUCUACUGGAAAGUGGGAAUUUUGUCACCUCAGUGUAGUGACACAAGCCAAAAAUUAGGUGGUGACCACAUUUGAAAGGGCAAAAAACGCUGUCAUUUUCAGUCGAGCAGGCAAAAAAGCAUCAACAAAUCUCCCUGUAGCCAUCAACCCUUUCACAUCUCAGGUUUGUGAAAAACAGUGACAGAUUUCACCCUGGAACACAACAGUUACGCUUGCCAGGCUUUUAAUGUUGUUCUGAAAUUAAUAAUGUAAUUGCCAGAUAUGGAAAAAAAGUCACUUGAUGCUGCUCAGGCUGAGAGGAGUUUUGAAUUACAAAAUCCUUCACUAGACCAUAAAACCACAGUAGAGGUCUGCUCUUGUGCAGGGCAUUAUUUCAGAGGAUCCAUGUAUGGAUAUUAAAGUAGAAUCUUCUGGCAGGUGAUCAGUUGGAAACCAAACUGCAAAAGCCUUGUAAUGUAUUUAUUCCUCAUUCAUAGGCAGCAGCUCAUAAUUAAAGACCAAAACCCCUUGUCCUUCUGCACACAAGGUACAAUACCUAUUUCAUGGUUCACUUAAAACAUCUGAGCCUGAGCUGCAAGACUUCACCAUUUGUCUCCUUGACACUCGACAAUCAGCUCCUCUGAAAUGGGAAGCAGCAUUUCACACAUUCUAAAAUAUAACAGAGGUAUCUGAUUAACCCCAUAAAACACAUCAGCUGCACAAACCACUGCUCCUCUUUCUUCUUUCUGGAUCUCAGAUGAGCUGGAGCCAGCAAUGCAAGCCUGACAUGCUCUGGGCAGCCACCAUGGUCCAGUGCAACCUUCUGGCAUGCACAAGCACAAACCUGACCCCCAGCCCUUCAAGGACAUUCCUUACAAGUAAUACUGCUGGAAAGAAAUCAUCACAAAGCAGCUCCUGGCAGCAAUGGAAGAGCCCAAACCUUAGAGCCAGGCAGUGACAGAUGCCUUCCCAGAUACCCUACAAACAAAAUUUCGUUUCAGUAAUCAUGGAUGCAUUAUUUAGCUGAACAUAAAGUGUUUAUACAUAACUUUCUGACUGCAAAUCGUAUGUUCAUUGUUAUUAUUGUUACUAAUGAUACACAAAUGUCACUCAUUUUUGCCUUGUCUCUGAUAUUCCCCACACAGCUGGCAACUAUAAAAGCUGGCAAACUAUUAAGAAAUUAAGAAUUUGUACAAUGUUUCAAUUAACACACAUCUAAUGUUUUAGACUUGCAAGCAUCCUUCCUGCUUUUCAAACCAAUUUCUUCAGAACCACUAUUUAUAAACCCACUGAUUUUCCCCAGGUAAUUUUACAGAAUGCACCCAGAUUUUUUUUACAGACCAUCCGGAUUUUACAGAAUGCAAGGAAAAUAAUUACUCUGAAAUAACCCUGACACACGGUCCCUUUUAACUACAGAUCAACAGCUUUGCAUUCCUACCCUGGCUGUAGGAGCAGGCACUAGGGCUCUGUGUGGGAUCCCGGGAGAGCAGCACUUCCAGCUGCAGCAUGGCUGCCCCUGGUGCCAUCUCGUGGUGGGCUGUAGGAGAUCCCGGGGCGUUCACAGCACUCAUUGUGCUCCACUGCUCUUCUGUUCAGCUCAACUGAUGUGAAAACUGGCUUUAGCACACCCUAAUCCACGCUUUGCACUAAGAAAUAGGGAAUUAUGAGGUUUAAUCACUGUGUCUGCAUGCAAUUUUUGGUGUUUGCACGUUGCUUGCUAAUUUCUCCCUCUACAAUGUCAGAAGCAUUUUUUUUAAAUGCAGUAAUUUAAGAGUGCUAAGGUCACUAUAAAUAAGUCUCUCAAACCCUUAAUAAAUCAAGUCUUAAAUUCCAGAAUAGCAAGCAAGAAACAGCAAAGUCUAGAACAGAAAGCAAGCCGAGCACAUAUUCACAAUGUUGUCCCCAAACAUUAAGUUUUCUUUGUGGUUUAAUCCCUUGCCUUUUCCACAUCUGUGGUUUCUCAUUUAAAGCUUUUUAUCUUCCCAGCUAAAGGCUACUCUAACUACCCCCAUCCUUAUUUCUGCACCUGACCUGUUACAUCCAAGUGUUCCCAUGGUCAGAGCUCUACAAGGAUAUUUAAGUAUCAAGAAUUUUCCAAAGCUUUCUGGCCUUCCAACGUGUGUACACAACUUUGGGAUUAAGAUUUUUACUUGCCACCAUGCAAAAUCCAGAAUUUGCUUCAAGCCUGCAAUUUUAACUUGACUUUACAGCAGACCCAGGUAAGAAGGCAGCAAAAGCCACACUUUCAAAGCGAUAAACAGUGCAUUACCCAUCCACCAUGCCCUGAGCAAGAGCCCAUCUUGACAAUUUCAAGCCUUCAUGUUUUGGCAGGCUGCUGCCCUGCUGUGGUCAGUGCAGUAAUGAAGCAAACACUCCCAUGCCCCCUAUUUCCAGCUCGGUUCUUUUCUUAAACUCUGUUUGAGUGUUUCUUUUAUCAUGGUUCUGGUAUGUGAGGGUAACCAACGUCAAAAUCUGCACCUAAAUCAAGUGCAAAUGCAUUCUGUUCAGCCUGACCUUUCCCAGCAAUGAACUUCUGAAGAAUAAGUGCAGAUAAUUUUUGGCAGUGCUGGGCUUGUGGUGACUGCCUUCAAAAGCCUCCUGUUUGGAAUAAGUUCAUCAAGGUCUUGUAAUAAGAUGUGGCAAGGCCAGUCAGCGACUACACACCACCACGGGUGAAAUCGUGUCACAUAAAUGAUGUCAGAAGAACCUCAGCCAAUAUUUUUGUUAUAAUCCAGACUUGAACUUUAUCAAUGAUGACUAACCACAAGGCCAUGCAUUAAAGUCAGAGUUUUCCUUGGCAUUAGUGGGAGUUAACACCUUCCAAAUGUGUUUUGUUUUAUUAACCCUUUCACAACAGCUAAUCUCAUGCUCCCAUGCAUAAAAAGGCUUUUGCCCAUGAGCACAGCAACCCCACUCCUCAUCCAGCAGAGCAGCAGGUUCAGCAGUGUGAGAGGCCAGAAAGAGCUGCUACUUUGUGCUUUGAAAUACAGAUCCAGACCCUACCCUGGGCUCUAGGAAGAACAGGAGAUCAUUGCUGGGUAAUUUUAAGCUCUCUAGAUUCCUGAACUGCAAGUUUAAUAGAGUUAUGGAUGCAGCCUUGAACUAAGUGACAAAUGUUAAAGCAUUUCUUCUGCCGGGAAAAGUUGUAAGAAUCUCUCUUGGACUGUCGGCUAAACCCUAUCCUACAGCAAGGUGGCAAUGCUGUAAAUUCACAACCAAUCCAAGGCCUGUGGAUCAGGGCUAUUACUUUUAAAAAGACUGACAGGGUCCCUAUUCUAUUGUUUCAAGGAGCACACCAGGGCCAGAAGCAUCAUUUUUCACCAUUACUUUCAGCUACAACAAUUAGAAAAGCAAAUCACUGAAAUACCUUCAGCUGUUUUGAACUUACAACCACCUAGAUCACCAUUACAGACCAAAAAUCCCUACUGCCUUUCUAAAGAUUUACUUCAUGCCUGAAGAGUAGGAUCCAAAUGCCUCCAUUUAGCAUCGCUUUAAAGUGCCACAGUCCAGAAAAGAGAUGAUAACACCACAUAGAAUUCUCUGCACAUUCCCUCCAACAGAAGCCUUAAAAAGCACAUGCACAUGUCUUAGUUAAUAAACUUUGCACAGCAGCUUCUGGUGGUGCCAGGGUUGUUUAUUUUGUUUGUAAGGUUCACCAUGUUUACAGCGCGGCUCAGCAGGUGUAGGUUCUUUAGCAUCAACCUCCUCAAAGUUAUCCAUCUCUCCAGGUGGAGCUCUAUCACCUUCUCUAUCAGCUAUGAGGAGCUGCAUGUUAAAAAUAUUAUUUUGUAACACUCCACUAUUUAAAGUCAUUCUACCAUGAGUGAAAGGUUAAAAAAUAAAGAAAAAAAGUUAUAAAAUCUAAAGAUAUGCUCACUGAACAAGUUCAGUCUCAGCACACAUGCUGUAAUCUCUUGCCUUAACUCAUUCUAAAGCCACAUAUUCAGUGAUUUACCUCCAGAGAGCUUUACAUAGUUAAGAAAACACGUGGUGUUUGCUACAGGCUGUAAUUUCUUACAUUUGACUUGAAAAAUGCAAUGCAUCUCCCAAAUGUGUUUCCACUGUAACUCCUUGUUUGAAUCUUCCACACACUCCUCCUAAGUAGCCUUUCACCAACCAAUAAAUCCAGCAGGGAGGGGAAGCUCCCCACUCUCUCAAAACUUCAUUACACAAGCUAAUCUAAAUUACAUUUAAAAAAAAACUUAAAUUCCUCUGCAAUGCCUGGCAGGAGCUUGAAUCCAAGGUUUCAUGCCUUGCUGCUGUAAAGGUACCUGGAACUUGUUUCAGCCCUGUUUUCUCAGGAGACACUUCCAGAUUUAUGGCAGAGCACCUGACAGUGAGCACAGCCUGAAAACACAAGGAUUGUUUACUGGACCACUGACUACACAUUUCAAGCCAAAGCAAACAUCAGCUUUUGUCAUCUGUCAUGGCUUAAGCUGAAAUGUUUCUUGAAAGUAAAGUUUCUUUCCUUCCAAGCUUGAGGAAAAUGCUGUUGCAGGUAUGUGUUGCUCUUCCCCAGCCAGCUUCCAUCACUCCCUUUUCCCCCUAUCCCCCAAAAAAAUGCAGCUUUUGGAAGAGAUUCAGAAAGAGGCAGUGUGUUUACCCCCCGAAAAUGGUUAGAUCAUCUUUAAUUCUAGCACCUGAAGUUAUACAAGGGUUUGCUUAAUAAUCAAGUUUCAAAGAACUGUUGGACACAUUCAGUUAAGGUGACAACUGUGCAAUACCACUCAGUAUUUCAAUAUCAGGGACCAUACUCUUGAAUUGUUUAAACACAAUCCACAGAACUCAAAAUUAAACAACCAUCCACAGUUUAACUAAACAAUCAGUUAAAAGUCUUACAGUUUAAUAAUUCACAUAAUGGUCAGUCUUUAGUAAGGGAUACUGAAAUUCAUUAAAACACAACACUAGAUUUUACUCUAUAGGUGUGCUGGGCAGGCACGUAAUUGGCCAUUCUUGGGUAUAACUGGGAGAGUAAGGAGAAAUUUACCACAGUUUGGCAAAUCCCACAUUUUGUCAGUUAAAAGUGAACUGUGAGAAUUAAAUACUCAUCUUUACAUAUACACAAGUUAUGCUGUGAAAGCAUAUUUGCUUACAAACAUAUAAAAAUACUUGUUAACUAGUUUGAUAAGAAAAUAAUGUAUAAAAGUAUAUAGCAAAAACAUUUAAUCAUCUCUGACAAUGGAAAGAUCAAAUUCAUUUUUAUAUCACAUGAAACAAAAACAGCUACAAUUUUAGUUUUCCUUAAUCCCUUACCCAGAAAUACAAAGGAAGACACAAUUUGUUUUCAAACAUAAUGUGAAAUUUCUUAAUAAGCUGAAAUGCCUCAAUCCAGAAUAAGCUCAGGUAUUUGGCCAUAUCCUAAUAGUAGUAGUAAUCAUCCUGUAGCUGUUCUGGAUUCAAAAAAUAAAUACAGUAGAAUGUUUUGGCCACCGAAAUAAAACUGCAGCAUAAAUGAGAGAUGAAAAUUUUUGCUGACAAUGAAAUUCAGUGUAGGUUUCUUAAGGCUAGCUGAAUACUCAAGUCUAAUUUAACUGAGGGCAGAAACAAGCAAAAAAAAGCCAAUCCACCCCGUUUUUAAAAAGUAUUCUCUAUACCCCAAUAUAGGUCUCUGUAAUAGCUAAUGAAAUGUCAGAAGUAAAAAUAAA